CGGCGGACGGGUGAGUAACGCGUGGGUAACCUGCCUCAUACAGGGGGAUAACAGUUAGAAAUGACUGCUAAUACCGCAUAAGACCACAGCACCGCAUGGUGCAGGGGUAAAAACUCCGGUGGUAUGAGAUGGACCCGCGUCUGAUUAGUUAGUUGGUGGGGUAACGGCCUACCAAGGCGGCGAUCAGUAGCCGACCUGAGAGGGUGACCGGCCACAUUGGGACUGAGACACGGCCCAAACUCCUACGGGAGGCAGCAUG
rnacentral:rRNA from 1 species